UCUGCCCCUUGGUUCGGAAUAACAGUUGGAAACGACUGCUAAUACCGGAUGAUGACGUAAGUCCAAAGAUUUAUCGCCGAGGGAUGAGCCCGCGUAGGAUUAGGUAGUUGGUGUGGUAAAGGCGCACCAAGCCGACGAUCCUUAGCUGGUCUGAGAGGAUGAUCAGCCACACUGGGACUGAGACACGGCCCUGACUCCUACGGGAGGCAGCAGUGGGGAAUAUUGGACAAUGGGCGAAAGCCUGAUCCAGCAAUGCCGCGUGAGUGAUGAAGGCCUUAGGGUUGUA
rnacentral:rRNA from 1 species